rnacentral:rRNA from 1 species
UCUGAUUGAUUCUGUCAGCGCUGUAUGCUCAAGUAAAAGAUUAAGCCAUGCAUGUAUAAAGUUCAACUUCAAGUGAAACUGCGUACGGCUCAUUAGAGCAGAUAUUAUUUUCUUCGAAAUUCGAUAGGAUAACUGCGGUAAUUCUGGAGCUAAUACAUGCGACAAAAUCCCGACUUCGGAAGGGAUGCAGAUAUUAGUACAAACCAAUCGUCUUUGACGUUGUUUGUUGACUCUGAAUAUCGUAGCCAAUCGACGGUCUAUCCGUCGAUGAUCGAAAAAAGUGUCUGCCCUAUCAACCAGAUGGUAGUCUAUUAGUCUACCAUGGUUAUCACGGGUAACGGAGAAUAAGGGUUCGACUCCGGAGAGGGAGCCUUAGAAACGGCUACCACAUCCAAGGAAGGCAGCAGGCGCGUAACUUAUCCACUACUUCAGUGAGAUAGUAACUAAAAAUAAAAAGACCAAUCCUUUGGAUCGGUUAUUUCAAUGAGCUGAGCUUAAAUAGCUCUACGAGGACCCAGUGGAGGGCAAGUCUGGUGCCAGCAGCCGCGGUAAUUCCAGCUCCAUUGGCGUAUAUUAAAGUUGUUGCAGUUAAAAAGCUCGUAGUUGGAUCUGAGAUACGUACAUUGGUUCGGCUCUGCCGUUAAUCAUUGUUGUAUCUAUUUUGCUGGUUUUCUGCAGUUGGUUUUGCCUCUGUAGUGGCUAGCGAGUUUACUUUGAAUAAAUCAAAGCGCUCAAAGCAGGCGAUUGCUUGUAUGUGCUAUCAUGGAAUAAUAAAAGAGGACUUCGGUUCUAUUUAUUGGUUUAAGAAUCGAAUUAAUGAUUAAGAGAGACAAAUCGGGGGCAUUCGUAUCCCUGCGCGAGAGGUGAAAUUCGUGGACCGCAGGGGGACGUCCAAAAGCGAAAGCAUUUGCCAAGAAUGUCUUCAUUAAUCAAGAACGAAAGUCAGAGGAUCGAAGGCGAUUAGAUACCGCCCUAGUUCUGACCGUAAACGCUACCAACUAGCGAUGAGGCGGUGGCAAUUUCGCCCUGCCUCGGAGCUUCCCGGAAACGAAAGUCUUCGGGUUCCGGGGGUAGUAUGGUUGCAAAGCUGAAACUUAAAGGAAUUGACGGAAGGGCACCACCAGGAGUGGAGCCUGCGGCUUAAUUUGACUCAACACGGGAAAUCUCACCCGGCCCGGACACUGUUAUGAUUGACAGAUUGAGAGUUUUUUCUUGAUUCGGUGGUUGGUGGUGCAUGGCCGUUCUUAGUUCGUGGAUUGAUUUGUCUGCUUUAUUGCGAUAACGAACGAGACCGCAACCUCUAGAUAGUUCUCUGAUACUUUCGUCAGUUGAACUUCCUAGUGGGAUAAGUGGCUCUAAGCCACACGACAAGCGGCAAUAACAGGUCUGUGAUGCCCUUCGAUGUCCGGGGCCGCACGCGCGCUACACUGGUAAGAUCAGCGCGCGUUUCCUUGACCGAAAGGUCUGGGUAAACUAUUGAAAACUUACCAUGAUUGGGAUCGGGCAUUGANACUUUAAUCGCAAUGGCUUGAACCGGGCAAAAGUCGUAACAAGGUACCUGUAGGUGAACCUGCAGGUGGAUCAUCGCUG